rnacentral:rRNA from 1 species
AUUGAACGCUGGCGGCAGGCUUAACACAUGCAAGUCGAGCGGAGACUUCGGUCUUAGCGGCGAACGGGUGAGGAAUGCCUGGGAAUCUGCCUGUUAGUGGGGGAUAACGAAUCGAAAGGUUCGCUAAUACCGCAUACGUCCUACGGGAGAAAGCAGGGGACCUUCGGGCCUUGCGCUAACAGAUGAGCCCAGGUCGGAUUAGCUAGUAGGUGGGGUAAAGGCUCACCUAGGCGACGAUCCGUAGCUGGUCUGAGAGGAUGAUCAGCCACACUGGAACUGAGACACGGUCCAGACUCCUACGGGAGGCAGCAGUGGGGAAUAUUGGACAAUGGGCGAAAGCCUGAUCCAGCCAUGCCGCGUGUGUGAAGAAGGCCUCGGUUGUAAG